AUUAUACUCCCCCGUCCGAAAAUACUUGUCAUCAAAAUGGACAAAAAGGGAUGUAUCUAAAACUAAAAUACAUCUAGAUACAUCCCUUUUAUCCAUUUUGAUGACAAGUAUUUCCGAGUGGAGGGAGUAUAUA
rfam:Triticum urartu cultivar G1812 contig1195305, whole genome shotgun sequence.